AUACGAAAGGAGCAAGCGUUGUUCGGAUUUACUGGGCGUAAAGAGAGUGUAGGUGGUUUGUUAAGUCGGAUGUGAAAUCCCGGGGCUCAACCCCGGAACUGCAUUCGAUACUGGCAGACUAGAGUUCGGGAGGGGGAAGCGGAAUUCCGUGUGUAGCAGUGAAAUGCGUAGAUAUACGGAGGAACACCUGAGGCGAAGGCGGCUUCCUGGACCGAUACUGACACUGAGACUCGAAAGCGUGGGUAGCAAACAGGAUUAGAUACCCUAGUAGUCC
rnacentral:rRNA from 1 species